CCUGGCGGCUUUAGCGCGGUGGUCCCACCUGACCCCAUGCCGAACUCAGAAGUGAAACGCCGUAGCGCCGAUGGUAGUGUGGGGGUCUCCCCAUGUGAGAGUAGGGAACUGCCAGGC
rnacentral:rRNA from 1 species